CAGAGACUGCAAGCGUUAUUCGGAUUCACUGGGCGUAAAGGGUGCGCAGGCGGCCGUGUGUGUGAGGCGUGAAAGCCCCGGGGCUUAACCCCCGGAAUUGCACCUCAAACUACAUGGCUAGAGCAUUGGAGAGGGUAGCAGAAUUCAUGGUGUAGCAGUGAAAUGCGUAGAUAUCAUGAGGAAUACCAGAGGCGAAGGCGGCUACCCGGACAAUUGCUGACGCUCAGGCACGAAAGCGUGGGGAGCAAAAGGGAUUAGAUACCCCUGUAGUCCACGCCCUAAACGGUGCACACUAGGUCUUGGCGGAUUCGACCCCACCAGGGCCCAAGCUAACGCGUUAAGUGUGCCGCCUGAGGACUACGGCCGCAAGGCUA
rnacentral:rRNA from 1 species